ensembl:snRNA LOC120098047 U6 spliceosomal RNA
GUGCUCACUUCGGCAGCACAUAUACUAAAACUGGAACGAUACAGAGAUUAGCAUGGCCCCUGGGCAUGAAUGACACACAAAUUCGUGAAGCAUUCCAUAUUUAA